CGAAGGUAGCAUAGUCAGUAGUCUUUUAAUUGAAGGCUUGAAUGAAUGGUUGGACGAGGGAUAAGCUGUCUCCUAUGUGUGUUUUGAAUUUAACUUUUGAGUGAAAAGGCUCAAAUUACUUAGUGGGACGAUAAGACCCUAUAAAACUUGAUAUUAGUUAGGUUUGAUUCGUGAUUUGAGUGAAGAUCGGUCUUACUUAUAUUAUAUUUUGUUGGGGAGACAUAGAUAUAAUUAGUAACUGUCUACUAAAUUUAAUAGUGUUAGUUAGUAUUUGAUCCUUCUUUGUGGAUUAAAAGAAUAAGUUACUUUAGGGAUAACAGCGUGAUUUUCUUUGAGAGUUCUUAUCGACAAGAGUAGUUGCGACCUCGAUGUU
rnacentral:rRNA from 1 species